rnacentral:lncRNA from 1 species
ACAUUAGACUUCCUGCACAGUCCCUUUGCAAACUUAUUCUGGAAAUGUGAAGUGUGUGUUGGUGUUGGUUUGGGUGGGCAUGAUGUCGGCAAAAAAUGCGUUAGAUCAGAUUUUAGAGUCCAUGAGUGUAAGGCAGUGUCCAGUGAUCACAAAUUCACUCAACUUAGGGCAUUGUUGUAUGUGGUGACCUUAGUAGGAAUAUGUGGUGACCACAUUAUAGUUCCUGCACAGUCC